rnacentral:rRNA from 1 species
GACGAACGCUGGCGGUGUGCUUCACACAUGCAAGUCGAACGAGGUAGCAAUACCUAGUGGCGGACGGGUGAGUAACGCGUGGGAAUCUGCCUUUAGAUGGGGGAUAACGGGUCGAAAGACUCGCUAAUACCGCAUAUGACGAAAGUUGAAAGGAGUAAUCCGUCUAAAGAUGAGCCCGCGUCCGAUUAGCUAGUUGGUAGAGUAAAAGCCUACCAAGGCGACGAUCGGUAGCUGGUCUGAGAGGAUGAUCAGCCACAAUGGGACUAGAAGACACGGCCCAUACUCCUACGGGAGGCAGCAGCGGGGAA